GAUGAACGCUGGCGGCGUGCCUAAUACAUGCAAGUCGAGCGAACGGACGAGAAGCUUGCUUCUCUGAUGUUAGCGGCGGACGGGUGAGUAACACGUGGAUAACCUACCUAUAAGACUGGGAUAACUUCGGGAAACCGGAGCUAAUACCGGAUAAUAUUUUGAACCGCAUGGUUCAACAGUGAAAGACGGUCUUGCUGUCACUUAUAGAUGGAUCCGCGCUGCAUUAGCUAGUUGGUAAGGUAACGGCUUACCAAGGCAACGAUGCAUAGCCGACCUGAGAGGGUGAUCGGCCACACUGGAACUGAGACACGGUCCAGACUCCUACGGGAGGCAGCAGUAGGGAAUCUUCCGCAAUGGGCGAAAGCCUGACGGAGCAACGCCGCGUGAGUGAAGAAGGUCUUCGGAUCGUAAAACUCUGUUAUUAGGGAAGAACAUAUGUGUAAGUAACUGUGCACAUCUUGACGGUACCUAAUCAGAAAGCCACGGCUAACUACGUG
rnacentral:rRNA from 1 species